AUUUUAAGGUAGUCAAUGCAGCAGAGGCAUCAAACAACUGUCAGCACUGCCUCCAGCACUAUAAACAGCACCUGGGUCCAACUGGACUCACAGCAGUCUGACUACCACCUUAUUAUGACGUCCCU